CGGCAACAGCUCAAAUUUGAAAUCUGAUCUCUUCGAGGUCCGAGUUGUAAUUUGUAGAGGGCGCUUUGGUGUUGGCUGCGGUCUAAGUUCCUUGGAACAGGACGUCAUAGAGGGUGAGAAUCCCGUCUGUGGUCGCAUGUCUUCACUGUGUAAAGCCCCUUCGAC
rnacentral:rRNA from 1 species